GACGAACGCUGGCGACGUGCUUAACACAUGCAAGUCGAACGGUGAAGGGACCGGUUUUUGCUGGUUCUGGAUGAGUGGCGAACGGGUGAGUAACACGUGAGUAACCUGCCCCCUUCUUCUGGAUAACCGCAUGAAAGUGUGGCUAAUACGGGAUAUUCUGCGCCUGCUGCAUGGUGGGUGUGGGAAAGAUAUUGUUUCGGUGGGGGAUGGGCUCGCGGCCUAUCAGCUUGUUGGUGGGGUGAUGGCCUACCAAGGCGGUGACGGGUAGCCGGCCUGAGAGGGUGGACGGUCACACUGGGACUGAGACACGGCCCAGACUCCUACGGGAGGCAGCAGUGGGGAAUAUUGCACAAUGGGCGCAAGCCUGAUGCAGCGACGCCGCGUGAGGGAUGGAGGCCUUCGGGUUGUAAACCUCUUUCGCCAGUGAAGCAGGCCUGUCCCUUUUGUGGGUGGGUUGACGGUAGCUGGAUAAGAAGCGCCGGCUAACUACGUG
rnacentral:rRNA from 1 species